rnacentral:rRNA from 4 species
UGUCGUCAGCUCGUGUUGUGAAAUGUUGGGUUAAGUCCCGCAACGAGCGCAACCCUUAUCCUUUGUUGCCAGCGGUCCGGCCGGGAACUCAAAGGAGACUGCCAGUGAUAAACUGGAGGAAGGUGGGGAUGACGUCAAGUCAUCAUGGCCCUUACGACCAGGGCUACACACGUGCUACAAUGGCGCAUACAAAGAGAAGCGACCUCGCGAGAGCAAGCGGACCUCAUAAAGUGCGUCGUAGUCCGGAUUGGAGUCUGCAACUCGACUCCAUGAAGUCGGAAUCGCUAGUAAUCGUGGAUCAGAAUGCCACGGUGAAUACGUUCCCGGGCCUUGUACACACCGCCCGUCACACCAUGGGAGUGGGUUGCAAAAGAAGUAGGUAGCUUAACCUUCGGGAGGGCGCUUACCACUUUGUGAUUCAUGACUGGGGUGAAGUCGUAACAAGGUAACCGUAGGGGAACCUGCGGUUGGAUCACCUCCUUACCUGAAAGAA